rnacentral:lncRNA from 1 species
UUUGAUCUUGUUCCUUCCUUGUAGAGCCUAGUAAGUAGUAACAAUCUUCUUUGACUUAGUUUCCUUGAUCUCCAUAGUCUUGUGAUUACUGAUUUCCCUUUUUGUUGUCUUUUCUGUUUGUAGCUUUCCUUUUGAGUGCAUACUUCUUUCCUUUUGUAAUCGUUGUCUGCGUUCUUCCAUUUCUCUUCUUCUUUUGUCCUGCAUCAUAGGUAGUGUAAUUUGGUUAGAUUUCAUCAUUAAAAUUAAUCAGAGGCUAACAUGAUACACUUCCAUCUUACUUCUUUCUGGAUCUUGUUGUCGGAAUUUUUUUGCAAUAUACAUUUUCAUGUCUUAUGCAUAAGAAGUGUGAGCUUGUGAGAUUAAAUAGGGGUUGAGGUGCCUAAACUCCCCAAGUCGCGAUGUAGUUGUUGUAUUCAAUUUCAUGUCUUAUGUCAAUGAACAGAGGUGUUAGAUGUCCUUCAUUAGCAUUAUCCAUGUUCACAUGCAGAUGUCCUAUAACUUUUCAUCUCACUUAUGGCCCUUAUGCAUUUGUUUGAUUUUGAAUAUGGUGAAAAUCAGGAAAUGUAUCCUAUCAUGGUUAUAUUUUUUCAGGUUGAUAAUUUUGGCACGGUGAACCUUGUGGAUGCAUGCCAGAAACUUGGUGUUAAUAGGUUCAUCCUUAUAAGUUCAAUUCUCGUCAAUGGGGCUGCAAUGGGUCAGUUGUUCAAUCCAGUUUAUAUAAUCCUAAAUGUUAUGGGACUCGUUUUGGUAGCAAAGCUUCAAGCUGAGAGAUACAUUCGUAAAUCUGGCAUCAACUACACAAUUAUUCGGCCUGGUGGGCUAAAAAACGAUCCUCCACAAGGAAAUUUAGUCAUGCAACCAGAGGUAAUAUUAUGUAUAGCUUAUUCCUGUAGUGUUCCAUUUCAAUUUUUUUCCGGAAGUCCUUUUUUUUUUGCAAUUUAGAUCCGCACUCUCUCUUCCUCCAUUUAGGACACCCUUUUUCGAGGCUCAAUAUCUAGAGAUCAGGUAGCGGAAGUUGCAGUCAAGGCAUUACUCCAUCUAGCAUCUCAUUACAAAGUUGUGGAGAUAGUGGCUAGUACAGAUGCUCCUGAACGUUCAUUUGAGGAGCUCUUUGGUUCAAUAGAACAGCAGUGACUUGUAAGCAUGCAACUUUUAUUUGUCCACUAAAAUGUUUCUUUGAUAAUAUUGCAUAUGCAACAUUUCACUUCUGUAAAUGAUGAUGCUGUUGUGAUCCGAACUGGGUUAAAAGGUCUGUAAAUGGUCACCUACUUUCCCUGGGACCAAGUAUUUGCACAAAGUAAAAGAAAAGAGAAAGAAUCACAACUAGUAUUAUUCCAGAGAUUUCCACGUUCCAAAAUUACGCAUGUUAAUGUUUGCUUUCUAUUUGGCUCGCGAGGAAUUGAGUUAUAGUUCUAGCGUCUUGUUUGAGCGCAAUGACUGUCAUUUCUUAAUUUUGUUUUUCAUUAUGAUCACCAAAGAUCCAACAACAUAGCCAUUGUAAUUCCACAAGUGGGGUUUGGGAAGGGUGGUGAGUACACAAACCUUGCCCUUACAUUGUGAAGGUAGAUAGACUGUUUUUGAAAGACCCUCGACUCAAGUAAAAAAGAUUAAAGCAGGUGUGGGAGUGAAUAACCAAACAUCCAUAGAUCAAAAUAAAAAUGUCUUAUAAGAUGAAGAAAUCCCAACAAAGUAGCAAGUACCACACUACAAAAAAAAAACUGUAAAUGAGUAGAAAAAAGAGCUUGAUUAGAAGAAGAAAGCAGCGAGAGAAGCAAAGGCAGCCAUUAAAACAGGGACAAAGUAAGUAAUGGCAGCACUCUCCAUUGAAGGUGCAGGUGCAGGUGAUUCUUCUCCGGCACCCAUUGCUCCUCCAACAUUCCCAAAAGCCACUACCAUCAUCAUGCAGAUAGUGAAAACAGCCAACUUGUUCAUACCCUCCAUUUCUUCUUGUUUUCUUCAACAAUUUCCAGUAGAAUACACAGAAGAAAAUGACAACUCUUGAGAAAGGAUAGAAAAAUUGAUCAAAGUGACUGUCUGAAGUGUGUAUUGAAAGGGCAAUAGACAUGGCAUUUAUAGGAAAGUUUAUGGCAGAAAGCAAUAAUUCUCCAGCUAUUUUAGUCGAGAAUAUUAAGAACAAAAUAUUUUUGUGGUUGAUGGGUUGUCAAAAGUAAAAAAACACAAUAUUAGUAAUAUUACUUUCUAGAUACAGCCUGGACUAAACAAACAAACUGAAUGUUCCCACUUGUUGUUAGAUAGAAAGUUUAAAGUUAGUUCUUGAUAGGUCAAGCUAAUUGAAGCUUCAAUGCCAUGUGCUGAACACAAAAAAUUGUUGAGAGAUAUCAAUUGAUCAACUUUUCAAAAUAGUUUCUCUUAAUUCAUGCGUUAGUGGUCGGUCCACUCAUAUUGAGAAGAGAAUUACUUUAACUUGGCUGAUUUAAUUUUCGAUAACAGGCUUUAUAAGAGCCUCCAUAUCAGUUUAAGGCGAAGCAAUAACAAGAUAUUAUAAUAAACCUCACGAAAAUAAAAAAUAAAAAAUACCAAACAUAUAUGAAUUUUGUUCUAUAAAAAUUAAACUGCUAUUGAAAUAACUGAGUUUAGCAUCCGAUUAACAAAAUUGUUGAUAUUAAUUUAACUCUGCAAAGUUAAGAUUGAAAGUGACGAAGAGAUGUCUUAAUGACACUGCAUAUGGUACUAUUACACCCUGCAUGAAAGGACUUCAAUUAAGUUUUUGGAACAAAGAAAAAGAAAUUGGGUUUAAUCAAAAAGAAGAUUAUUAAGAAAAUAAAAGUGAUGUAAGAAGAUACAUCAGAAAGAGACUAACAAAACUUAUUAAAUAUACCAACAAAAGAUUAGGUAAAGAAAAAUAUAGAUUAAAAUACCCAAUUCACCUAAUAAUGGGACAUGAUAAUCUUCUAAUUGAUGCUUUAACAUGUGCUGGUUGCUUAAUGAACCAUUCUCAAUGAUUAUCCACACAAGCUGACAACUUAUACAAAUGUUUUUGGAUAAAUUAAACAGUUAAUUAAGAUAGUUCCCUCCCAAAUAAUGAAUUUAAUUAAAUAUAUUCUGUCACCAAUUGUUUUUCAGUAGCAAUGCACAUGUAGGUGCUUGAUUUCUCUUGAGAAACUAGCCUGGAAAAAGUUCAUUUCUUUUUUGGUUUGCUACAGUCUGGAUUGACUAACAUUAGCCAAUCGAUAUUCUAAGUUUUUCUUUUGUGUGACUAAUUCUUUUUCUAUAAAAGCCAGUCCUAUUGUUACCUUUUGCAAACACAGUGCUCACAAAGUGAUCACUUUCAAUAAGAUUCUAGUUUUUCAUUGCUAGAGUUCAUUUCUUCAGUUUUAGUGCAUGUUAUUAAAGUGAAAAAGAAGAAGAAAAAAAUGGAGGGUUCUAAGAAGUUUGCAAUGGUUUUCACCAUUUGCAUGAUGAUAGUUUUAGCUUUUGGAAAUGUUGGAGUGUUGGCUGCAGAAGCACCCGCACCUUCACCUUCCAUGGAGAAUGCUGGAGUUAAUUUGUUUGCUCCUCUUCUAAUGGCUGCCAUCGCUUCAAUGGCUGCCGUCUUUCUCUAAAGUUUUCUGAUUUUUUACCCUUCUAUGAUUCUCGUUCCAUAUUUGUAUUCUUUAGAUUAUUUGUUGGGAUCUUGAUAUCUAAUAAUAAUUUAAUUUCAUUCUGAGAGAACAGUUUUUUUUGUUUACUGUUAUUUCUUUUGAGAAAUAAUAACAGUAAAUUCUAUAGUUGUAUAAUACUAGUUGUGUCUCAACCUCUUCAACUUUUGCCUUGCUCUCCCUUAAAUGUUUAUGAUCCAAAGUACUCACCAUCUCCUUUUUCCAGUGCAUAUAUAUAUGCAUCAUUUAACAAUUAAAUUUACUGUUGUACGAAUAUGUCAACGUCAUGAUCUCCACUCACUUCAUUAACUUACUCGGCACAUCCUUGUCCUUGGGUUCUGUAGAUAUGAAGUACGUUGACUUUCAUCAAAAGGUAAAAGCAUUACGCAUAUAAAAUUGAAAAAGGUAACAAUAAACUUCAACCGAAAGACUUGGCUCCAAAUACGAUCAGUUGAACACAAUUGAAUCAAUGGAUGUUUGAGUUCAUCAAGAGAGAGUCUUGUUGGUAUAAAGAAACCAGCUGAUCAAAGCAGAGAAAAGGAAGAUGCUAUAAUUCCUGAUCAAUUGAAGUAUCACCAUAGCACAUUGCAGCAAUCUAUCCCUACAAAGCACAUAGUUAUAUAAGACAUUGAUUCAGCCAAACGAGGAGACAAGCAACAAGAAAUAAGAAAAAGGAGAGAGAGAGAAAUCAUAGAUGGCUGAAGCAGCAGUUUCCUAUGUUGCAGAGUGGCUUAUUGAUCUUUUCCAAAGAAAAAUUGUUUUCCUGAGAAACGUCCAACAAGGAGUUGAAGGAGUACGAAAUGAGCUCAUCCGUAUGAAGUGCUUCCUGAAAGAUGCAGAUAUGAAGCAAGAGGAAGAUGAGGCUGCAACAAUCCGCGAUUGGAUAUCUGAAAUCAGGGUAGUUGUCUACCAUGCUGAGGAUGUGAUUGAAAUAUUCAUCCACCAAGUUGAGUCCCAGCAACGACAGAGUUUCUUCAUCAAAUGUGUCUCCUAUCCUAAGAAAUUAUGCUGUCUUUACAAAGUAGGGAAAAAGCUCGAAUUGAUUCAGACCAGAAUUCUUGAAAUAUCUAAUAGUCGUGAAAGAUAUGGCAUCAGGCCUAUUCAAGGGCUCGGAGAUGGUGAAGGUUCAAGCACAAGCCGUGAGAGGAUGCAUGAACUACGACGGUCCUCGCCGUUGGUUGCCAACACGGAUGCUGUUGGUCCUCGCCGUGGUUGCCAACACGGAUGCUGUUGGUCUGGAAAAGCAUGUGAGUUCUGUCAUGUCAAUCCUUCUGAAGGAGGACAAACGACUUCGUGUUGCUUCAAUUGUUGGUAUGGGGGGCGUUGGCAAAACGAUUCUUGCCAAAGAGGUUUAUAAACAAACUCAAAUCAGAAACAAGUUCGACACUCGGGCAAGGCUUUAUGUAUCCCAAGAAUAUAAGCCAAUGAAGAUCAUCAAGGAACUCAUUUUACAACUGGCAAAUCCAGAAGAAGAUAAAGUGAAGAUAGUGGAUACGAUGGAUAAAUUGUCAGUGGCUGGUUUGGAGUAAAUGCUCCAGAGUCGUUUGGAAGAUACGUGCUAUAUCAUUGUUCUUGAUGACAUCUGGACCACAGAAGCAUGGGAUCUCAUUGUUAGGUCAUUUCCUGACAAUGAUAAGUCAAGUAGAUUGCUACUUACCAGCCGCAGAAUGGAGGUUGCUUUGCAUGCCGAUGCCCAUACUACGCCCUACAAACUUGAAGUAUUGAGUGAAGAGGAGAGUUGGGAACUCUUUCUCAAGAAAGCAUUUUCCGAGAAUAGAGAGUGCCCACAAGACUUGGUGGAUGUGGGGAAAGCGAUUCUGCAAAAAUGUGACGGCUUGCCACUGGCAAUCACUGUCAUGGGAGGCAUCUUGGCUGGGAAGAAGAAGCGAAAAAGUGAGUGGCAGAGAGUACAGAGAAACCUCAGUUCAUACCUUGUCAAAACUCAUGGCGUAUCAACAAUUUUGGCGUUGAGUUAUCGGGACUUACCUCCCCACUUAAAGUCUUGCUUUCUCUACUUAGGCCUUCUCCAAAAAGGCAAAGACAUCCUUGUGAAGCAACUCAUGCACGUAUGGAUUGCCCAUGGUCUUAUUCAUCAAAAGGAAGAACAAAAAUUAGAGGACAUUGUGGAGGAUUAUCUUGAUGAGCUCAUUGGCAGAAAUAUGCUUCAAGUAAUCCUAGUUAGAGCAGAUGACAAAGUUAAAAGUUGCCGACUCCAUGAUCUCCUACGAGACUUUUGCAAUAUAAAGGCCAAGGAAGAAAUAUUUCUCGAGGUAGAUAAUCCAUCUAUAUCCCUCUCUGAAUCUCGGCACCAUGUCCUUUACUCUCCGCUAGAGAGGUACAAAUAUUUGGGAGAUUCAAAAUCGUUUGUAAGAUCCGUUCUAUCCUUUGAUUCAUCGGCUAAACUAGUUAACCUUGAUUGUAUUUGUACAAGUAGUUUCAAACUUCUCAAAGUACUAUACAUAGACUCUCCUGGUUUAAAGGUGAUCUCAGAUAAUAUUGGGAAACUAUGUUCCUUAAAUAUUGUGGAAGUUAGAGAACCUGUGGCAUCUGUUUGGUUAUAUAAAUUCCCCUAGCUUAUUGAAGAUUGACCGACUUAACAAUCUCCAAACUCUAGGCAGCAUACCUGUUCAUCACUGGAUGCACAAUGAAAACCUGACAAGAAUGACUAAUCUCCAAAAAGUUGGUUUACUAAUUGAAAAUGAUGAUAACCUAGACAUGGAUCGAUUAUGUGAUUCACUUGCAGCGUUUGAGAGCCUACAAUCCUUGUGCUUGGAAGUAGAGGAUGGCUUGCAAAUAUCUUUGGUUGGUGGUUUGUCUAAGUUGAGUCAUGUUGUCAAGCUUAAGUUGAAGGGACACUUAGCAUCAAUACCAGCUCAUCCUUGUGUAUUUCCACCUAAUCUUUCUCAGCUGACUUUGGUGAACUCCAAGCUUUAUCCAGAUUCAAUCCAAGUGUUGGAGAAGUUAACCAACUUGUCAGUUCUAAAACUAGUUAAUGCUUUUCAUCGAUAUCAUGAGCAAGCUGACAGUAUGACAAUAUCGGAGAAUGGGUUUCUUGGACUCAAGUUGCUGAGGCUGGAUCAGCUGAUGUCUAUGAAAGAGAUGAAGCCACGGGAAGGUGCAAUGGCAGGACUCAAUGCCUGCAGAUCUUCAAAUGCUACUCGUUGAGGAGGCUCCCAGAAGAGUUGAUAUCACUGACUAUCCUUGAGAAGCUGGAGAUUCGAGAAAUGCCUGAAGCAUUUAUAGCUAGGCUUCAAGUUUCAGAUUUGCACAAACUCCAACACAUUCCCAACAUUAUAGUUGGACAUCCCAGUACAGAUUAUGAAGAAUGGAUCCAAGAAGAAAUGGGGCGUCUAAAUCACAUUAGAAAGAUCAGGGCACAUGCACAGGCAAUUAGAGCAGCAUAUUUGUUCAAGCAACUGGCAGAGAGGAGCACAAAUGACAAUACAGAUUGAUUUUUUGUUUUAACUUUUCGGUUUAGUGGUUUAGUUUUGUGUUUAUUAUACUGCUCUCGGUCCUAAGCCCGGGGGUUUAUCGGAAACAGCCUCUCUACUUCACCUAAGGUAGUGGUAUGGUCUGCGUACACCCUACCCCCAGACCCCACUAUGUGGGAAUACACUGGGUAUGUUGUUGUUGUUGUUGUUGUUGUCGGUUUAGUGGUUUAUACUAGCAAGAGGAGACUGUGACUAUUUCCAGUUCCGGAACAUGCAUUUAAAAAAAGAAUUUUCUUUCUCAAUUAUAUUCUUUAUAAGUAUACUACAAUAGUAGGACUAAUUAACAACAACAAACAACAAUAUACCCAGUAUAUUCCCACAAAGUGGGGUCCGGGAAAGGUAAAUAUAUGCAGUCCACGCCACUACCUCGGGAGUGAAUAGAGAGGCUGCUUCCAAUAAACUUCCGGCUAAUUAAUGAGUAUCAAUAAUCAAUAUAUUAGAAAAGGAACACCCUAACACAAUAUAUGAAUAUAAACAUCACUGUUACAACUGUAUUCUACGAUUUGUCAUGAUUUGAAGACAAUCAAUGAUUAGCUAUCUAGUGAAGCCGUGUGGGGCUUUUUCGAUUCACUAGCAAUAUUGUCUUUGUUGUUCUUGUUGUUAAACUCACUUUUCUAGUUCAAACAAGUGUUGCAAGCCUAGUGAAGCCGUGUGUGGCCAUUUUCGAUUCACUAGCACUUUGUUGUUCAUCUUGUUGUUCUUGUGUUGGUUGGAAUCUCUUGAUACACACUUAACAUUGUAUCAAAAUUGCAACUCCCAUAGUUCUAAUUAAUAUAAAAUAAUAAUUAGACUAAUUAACAAGUUGUUUCCAACAUAUUUUCUUUCAUGGAAAAUAAACUUCAACCACAAAUAAAAAUAAGAAGAAACAAUAAUUUUAUUGAUAAACGAGGUGGUUACAAAUUUGUUCUCCUUGAUUCUUCUCUCGAUUUUCUUCGUAAUCCGAGGGUCGUUAUUCUCUUGAUUUUCUCCGUAAUUCGAGGGCCGUUAGAGGAGGCGUAUUUCUCGAACAUAGGAUGAUUUCUUUAUGAAUAUUCUAUGAUUUUGUGGGAUAUUGGAGAUCUCGAUCUUUUUACAGUUUAUGGGAUAUUCAAGAUGUCUGUUUGAGGGAAAUAUGCUAGCCUUUAAAUAGGCGGGAUUUAGGGUAAAGUAGUCUCCUAGAACUCUAACAGAAUUUUGGAUUCUUUUUGAAAAGUUUCACAAAUGUCUACAAAUGCCCCUACCUUGUCAAAGAUUUGAUGACUAGAAGUAACAAUACAACUUCCAUCUUUAUGCGGCUGCUACAUAUUUGCAAAUCUGAUUUAUGAUUAUGAGAGAAGAGAUAAGAGCAGAUUUGGUCCCAUUGUGCGUGUCAAUUUGUUUUCAAUAUAAUUUAAUUCAUAAAAAAUAAACUUCAACCACAAAUAAAAAUACGAAGAAACAACAAUUUUAGAUAAACGAGGUGGUUACAAAUUUGUUCCUCCCUUGAUUCUUCUCUCAAAUUUCUUUGUAAUUCGAGGACCGUUUUCCCCAUAAUUUGAGGGCGUUAGUAGCGUACUUCUCGAACAUAGGAUGAUCUCUUUAUGAAUAUCCCAUAAUUUUGUGAGAUAUUGGAGAUCCCGAUCUUUUUACGAAGACGGAAUUUAGGGUAGAGUAGCCUGAACUCUAACAGAAUUUGAAUUCUUUUGCAAGAGUGUCACAAACUGUAGAUGUUUACACAAGUAUGACAACAACCUAUAGAAUUGUAUUUUACGAUUCGUAUAUUUCGAAGACUAUCAAUGAUCGCCUAAUUAGAUCAACAAUGCCAACAAUAAGACCCUGAAACCACCACACUCAAGUUUUAUAAUUUAAAGUUAAUAUAAUUAGAAUGAUAAUUUAGGAAUUUCAGUUCAACCUAUGGCUAGACAAGGAAUGUUGCAAGUUGUGCUAAAAUAGCUUAUAAAGAAAUCCUGUCAUUAUUUUCUAUCCAUGAAAGCUUAAUUAAUUGUUCAUUAAAAGUUGAAUGACGACUUUACUCUAAAAACUAAAAUGUUAGUACAGUAUAAACUAAUUUUUUUUUUUCUGUUUAUUUAUCUCCAUAUUUUUUUUUUUAAUUAAAAGCUUAACUGAUUGUUCCCAAAAGGACGUUCAAAUGAAAAGUUACAGUUACGCAAUUUACGAACUGGUUGGUCUAUUGGUACAGUGUAACAUUUCUUUAUAUAGCCCACAAAAAUAUUUUAUCAAAUUCCAAUUAUUUUCCAUUUAUGUGUUAUAUGAAAGAAUUUUCUAGAGCCGUGGACCUAUCGGAAACAGCCUCUCUAACCUCAGCUCUCAGCUCUGAGGUAGUGGUAUGAACCGCAUGAAUUCUACCCUCCCAAAUCCCACAAUGUGAGAAUAUAUUGGGUAUGUUGUGUUAUACUAAAGAAUUUCUGAAAUAGAUUUUCAUGAAUUACUUAUUCUCCAAAUCAUAUUUCAAGAUCAUCAAUUAAUAUGAACAUUAUGGUAAAAUCAUCACAUCGAUCAAUAUUUCUCAAGACACAUAUAAAGUGUAUAGGCACAAGUUAAAGAUACUUGUGUAGUUGAGUUUUGGUUAGACACAACAAUAACACAUACGCAUAUUAUGCCUUGUAAGUUCUAACAAAUCAUCAAACUAUUUAAAUUUUAAAACUAUGUCUAAAAGCAGAAGACCCCACUGAUUUUCACAAAAGAAGAAUUGAUUCAUGAAAUCUCAUUUUCUUCUUUUUGUUGUUAAAUCAACGAAUUCCACUAAUUGAUUUUCAUAAAAGAACAGAUUCAUGAAAUCUCUUCUUUAUGUUUUUUUAAAUCAACAAAGGGAGUCAGCAUUCCACUGAUUGAUGUAUGUGGGAAUCUCCUGAAUAUUUUAGACAAAAUAUGAUUAUCCAUAAGUGCUAAAGGGAAUACUCAGGAUGCAUGUUCGUUCUUACGACAAAAAAGCAACAUCAAAAAUGUUGAAGUUGGAACUGUAGGACACAAAAAAAGUGGAGAGAAAGAAGAUGCUAUGAUUGCUGAUCAAAUAAAUUAAUGAAGUUUCAUCCUUUUUAUAAAGAUGAUCAAGUAAAGUGUCAUUACAGCACAUUACAGCAAUCUAUCCCAUAGAAGCACACAGUAAUAUAAGACAUAAAUUCAGGAAAACUAAGGAGGCAAGCAACAAGAAAUAAGAAAAAAAGAGAGAGAGAGAGAGUUAUUAAUUAAAAACCAGAUAUGGCUGAAGCAGCAGUUUCCUAUGUUGCAGAACGGCUUAUCGAUCUUUUCCAGAGAAAAAUUGUUUUCCUGAAAAACGUCCAGAAAGGAGUUGAAGGAGUGCAAAACGAGCUCAUCCGUAUGAAGUGCUUCCUGAAAGAUGCAGAUAUGAAGCAAGAGGAAGAUGAGGCCGCAACAAUCCGCAAUUGGGUAUCUGAAAUCAGAGCAGUUGCCUACCAUGCUGAGGAUGUGAUUGAAAUAUUCAUCCACCAAGUUGAGUCCCAACAACGACAGAGUUUCUUCGUCAAGUGUGCCUUCUAUCCUAAGAAACUAUAUUGUCUUUAUGAAGUAGGAAAAGAGAUUGAAUCGAUUCAGGCCAGAAUUCUUGAAAUAUCCAACAGCCGUGAAAGAUAUGGCAUCAGCAAUAUUCAAGGGCACGGAGAAGGUGAAGGUUCAAGUACAACACGUGAGAAAAUGCGUGAACUACGACGCUCCUCGCCCUUUGUUGCAAAUAAAGAUGUUGUUGGUCUAGAGAAGCAUGUGAAUUCUGUUGUGUCAAUCCUUCUGAAGGAGGACAAAAGGCUUUGUGUUGCUUCAAUUGUUGGUAUGGGGGGCAUUGGUAAGACGACUCUUGCCAAAGAAGUUUAUAACCAAAGUCAAAUCAGAAACAAGUUCGAUACUCGGGCAUGGCUUUAUGUAUCCCAAGAAUAUAAGCCCAUGAAGAUCAUCAAGGAACUCAUUUUACAACUGGCAAAACCAGAAGAAGAUAAAGCAAUGAUAGUGGAUACGAUGGACCAAUUGUCACAGGCUGGUUUGGAGGAAAUGCUCCAGAGGCGUUUGGAAGAUACAUGCUAUCUCAUUGUUCUUGAUGACAUCUGGACCACAGAAGCAUGGGAUCUCAUUGUUAGGUCAUUACCUGACAACGAUAAGUCAAGCAGAUUACUACUUACCAGCCGCAGAAUGGAGGUUGCUUUGCAUGCAGAUGCCCAUACUACGCCCUACAAACUUGAAGUAUUGAGUGAAGAGGAGAGUUGGGAACUCUUUCUCAAGGAAGCAUUUUCCGAGAAUCUAGUGUGUCCACAAGACUUGGUGGAUGUGGGGAAAGCGAUUCUGCAAAAAUGUGACGGUUUGCCACUGGCAAUCACUGUCAUGGGAGGCCUCUUGGCUGGGAAGAAGAAGCAAAAAAGUGAGUGGCAGAGAGUACAGCGAAACCUCAGUUCAGACCUUGUCAAAACUCAUGGCGUAUCAACAAUUUUGGCGUUGAGUUAUCAGGACUUACCUCCCCAUUUAAAAUCUUGCUUUCUCUACUUAGGCCUUCUCCAAAAAGGCAAAGACAUCCUUGUGAAGCAACUCAUGCACAUAUGGAUUGCCCAUGGUCUUAUUCAUCGAAAGGAAGAACAAAAAUUAGAGGACAUAGUAGAGGAUUAUCUUGAUGAGCUCAUUGGUAGAAAUAUGCUUCAAGUAAUCCUAGUUAGAGCGGAUGAAAGAGUUAAAAGUUGCCGGCUCCAUGAUCUCCUACGAGACUUUUGUAUUAUGAAGGCCAAGGAAGAAAUAUUCUUCGAAGUAGAUACUCCAUCUACAUCCCUCUCUGAAUUUCGGCACCAUGUGCUUUACAGUCCACUCGAGAGGUACAAUUCAAAAUCUUAUGUAAGAUCCCUUCUAUCCUUCGAUUCAUCUUCCACACCAGUUAACCUUGAUUGUAUUUGUACAAGUAGUUUCAAACUUCUCAAAGUACUAUACAUAGACUCCCCUGGUUUAAAGGUGAUCUCAGAUAGCAUUGGAAAACUAUUUUCCUUGAAGUACUUUGGCUUAGGACGUAAGACAUGCAUAAAGAAGCUUCCCCAUUCAAUAAGUCAUUUGCAAAACUUAGAGACAAUAGAUAUGCCCAUGUCUAGGUAUUAUUCUGUGCUAGUUCCUAAUGUCUUGUGGAGGUUAGUGAAUCUGCGGCAUCUGCUUGGUUACAUAAAUUCCCCUACCCUAUUGAAGAUUGACCUGCUUAACAAUCUCCGAACUCUAGGCAGCAUACCUGUUCAUCACUGGUUGCACAAUGAAAACCUGACAAGAAUGACGAAACUCCAAAAAGUGGGUUUACUCAUUGAAAGUGGUAAUAACCUAGACAUGGAUCGAUUAUGUGAUUCACUUGCAAAGCUUGAGAGCCUUCAAUCUUUGUGCUUGGAAGUAGACGAUGGAUUAUGUAUAUCUUUGGUUGCUGGUUUAUCUCAGUUGAGUCAUGUCGUCAAGCUUAAGUUGAAGGGAAAUUUAGCACCAAUACCAGCUCAUCCUUGUGUAUUUCCACCUAAUCUAUGUCAUCUCACUUUGGUGAACUCCGACCUCCAUCCAAGUUCAAUCCAAGUGUUGGAGAAGUUAACCAACUUGUCAGUUCUAAAACUAGUUAAUGCUUUUAAACUAUAUGAUCAGCUAGCUGAAAGUAUGACAAUAUCGAGGAAUGGAUUUUGCGGGCUCAAGUUUCUCAGGGUGGAUGAAGUAAAGUGUGUGAAAGAGAUGAAGCUAGGGAAAGGUGCAAUGGCAGGACUCAAAUGCCUGCAGAUCUUCAAAUGCUACUCGUUGCGGAGACUCCCAGAGAAGUUGAUAUCAUUGACUAACCUUGAGAAGCUGGAGAUUCGAGAAAUGCCUGAAGCAUUUAUAGCUAGGCUUCAAGAUUCUGAUUUGCACAAACUCCAACAUAUUCCCAACAUUGUGAUUGGACAUCCCUGCACAGAUUAUGAAGAAUGGAUCCAAGAAGAAAUGGAGCGUCUAAAUAUCACUAGAAAAAUCAGGUUGAAAAGCAGAGACAACAAGAGCAGCAGUUCUGUUCCAGGAAGAACAAAUGUCAAUACUGAUUGAUUUGCUUAUUUUCUUUUAAUCUUUCCAGUCAUAUGUUCUCCAUUAGCAAGAGGGAAAUGUGACUUAUUACCUGUUCAGAACAUGCAUUUAGAAGAAG